UACGAAGGGGGCUAGCGUUGCUCGGAAUCACUGGGCGUAAAGGGUGCGUAGGCGGGUCUUUAAGUCAGGGGUGAAAUCCUGGAGCUCAACUCCAGAACUGCCUUUGAUACUGAGGAUCUUGAGUUCGGAGAGGUGAGUGGAACUGCGAGUGUAGAGGUGAAAUUCGUAGAUAUUCGCAAGAACACCAGUGGCGAAGGCGGCUCACUGGCCCGAUACUGACGCUGAGGCACGAAAGCGUGGGAGCAAACAGG
rnacentral:rRNA from 1 species